CGGAGGGGCUUUCACUUCAGCGCAGCCCCCCCACCACCACACACAAACACACACACACACAACCCUCCCCGCUAGCUUUGAGCUGUGCAUUGCGGACCGAGGAGAGGGGGAGAGAAGCAACGGAUCCCGCACUCGCCGACCGGCUUCUCGCGAUCCCGCAGUGGCGAAACCCCGCCAGCCGGAGGCGAGGCAGGGAAAGAGGGAGGGAGGGAGGCGGCGGCGGCGACUGCUGCUGCUGCUACUCCUAUUCCCGCCUGGCUUGGCUCGGCUCGGCUUUCCUUUCUUCGCUCCGCUCCGCUCGCUCCCCGGCGCGCCCCCCGCCCCGCUUUUCCGGGAGGGGAUCUAAUAUCCCGCCCCCCCUUCUCCAACCAAUGACAUCACCAGCACCCCCAAAGAGGCCGUCCCAGCAUGCAGCGCUGGCGGGCCCCGGAGACUUGCUCUGGUUGCCGGUGGAGACGCAGAAGAGGAGGCGGCGGCGGAGGAGGAAGAGGAGGAGGCGGCGGCGGCGCCGGCUCGGACAGCCUGCAUGCAGGUACUCCCUGUCUUACAGCUACGAUUGGGACCAGACGUUCUGUCACUAAGCCGUGUGGUCAUUGUUGGAAAGCAAAGUAUCCAUUAGCAACUGAGCCGCCUGGAAGACAAAAAAUGGCGUAGAGGGGGAAAGAAAGAAAGAAAGAAAGAAAGAAAGAAAGAAAGAAAGAAAGAAAGAAAGAAAGAAAGAAAGAAAGAAAGAAAGAAAGAAACUGAAAUCAAAUCUGUGCAAAUGGAUUUUUCUGGAAAUGUUUUCAGGUGAGCGUUUUAGAUCAAAGUCCUGGGCUUUUCUCUCCCCCCCCCCACCACUCCCAAAAUAACGUAUGGGUGACAGGUAGCCCCCUGGGAGAUGGGGAGAAUGGGGUGCAGGGUAGGUCACGCAGAAAUGUUGACGCUAAACGUAGCAGCACUAAGCCAGCAUCGAGCCACUGCCUUUGUAUUGCCAGGGAUUUUUCAAAGCACAGCAAGUGCCUCUCUUUGCUUUUACGUGGUUAAACUUACAAUGUCCUUACCCAGAGCAAAAUGCUGGCGGUGCGAGAGCGCCCUCUUGUGCAUUUUCCCCAAAAAGCUUAUUUUUCAACCAUUCGGCUUUGCAUUUCGACUACCGCAGUGUUUCUCAACCUUGACAAUUUUAAGGCAUGUGGACUUCAACCCCCAGAAUUCCACAGCCAGCAAUGUGGUGUGUGCCUUGCACAUCUGCAGUCGCCACAUGCCACUCACACUUUUAGUACAUAUCUCUUGCACACCUGUAGUUGCAUAUAUGCCACUGCAAUGGUACACAUACCACACAUGCCUGCAGUGGUGCACGUGUCACACCUGCAGUGGCGUGUGCCUUGCAUGCCUGCAGUUGCACACAUGCCGUCCACACCUGCAAUGGCACACACACCUUGCACACCUGCAGUUGCACACGUCACCCAACACCUGCAGUGGUACAUGCCUUGCACAUCUGCAGCCGGACACAUGCAGGAUAUGUGUGUGCAUACAUGUAUGCAGUUAUGCAGAUGCAUGGAGGCAGUUUCCAAAGGAUGGUUGCCUGUUUGGACUAAGCAAGGGUUGCAAAUAGGAAUGGGAGGAAGAAGGAAGGAAGGAAGGAAGGAAGGAAGGAAGGAAGGAAGGAAGGAAAGGAAGGAAGGAAGAAAGGAAGGAAGGAAGGGACUAAUUUGGAGAGAAGAAAGAGCGGCUCUCGGAGGCUUGAGGACUCUGGAUAAAUUCUCAUUUUUGGAAGAGGUCAGGUGUGUCUCACAGACCGAUCAAUGAAGGUCCUAGACCCGUGGUGGCGAACCUAUGGUACGUGUUGCUACAGGUGGCACGCAGAGCCCUCUCUGUGGGCACGCGCGCCGUCACCCCAAUCCUGGGCCUUCAGCCCUGUUUUAUAAAACCUUUUUG